rnacentral:rRNA from 1 species
CAUAGCAUAUCAAUAAGAGCGGGAUAAGACACCAACAGGGAUUGCCUCAGUAACGGCGAGUGAAGCGGCAACAGCUCAAAUUUGAAAUCUGGCCUCGGCCCCGAGUUGUAAUUUGUAGAGGAAGCUUUUGGUGCGGCACCGACCGAGUCCCCUGGAACGGGGCGCCAUAGAGGGUGAGAGCCCCGUAUGGUUGGACGCCUAUCCUCUGUAAAGCUCCUUCGACGAGUCGAGUAGUUUGGGAAUGCUGCUCAAAAUGGGAGGUAAAUUUCUUCUAAAGCUAAAUAUUGGCCAGAGACCGAUAGCGCACAAGUAGAGUGAUCGAAAGAUGAAAAGCACUUUGAAAAGAGGGUUAAAUAGCACGUGAAAUUGUUGAAAGGGAAGCGCUUGUGACCAGACUUGCGCCUCGUCGAUCAUCCGGGGUUCUCCCCGGUGCGCUCGGCGGGGCUCAGGCCAGCAUCGGUUCUCGCGGGGGGACAAAGGCUCCGGGAACGUAGCUCCUCCGGGAGUGUUAUAGCCCGGGGCGUAAUGCCCUCGCGGGGACCGAGGACCGCGCUUCGGCAAGGAUGCUGGCGUAAUGGUCAUCAGCGACCCGUCUUGAAACACGGACCAAGGAGUCAAGGUUUUGCGCGAGUGUUUGGGUGUCAAACCCGCACGCGUAAUGAAAGUGAACGUAGGUGAGAGCUUCGGCGCAUCAUCGACCGAUCCUGAUGUAUUCGGAUGGAUUUGAGUAGGAGCGUUAAGCCUUGGACCCGAAAGAUGGUGAACUAUGCUUGGAUAGGGUGAAGCCAGAGGAAACUCUGGUGGAGGCUCGCAGCGGUUCUGACGUGCAAAUCGAUCGUCAAAUCUGAGCAUGGGGGGCGAAAGACUAAUCGAACCAUCUAGUAGCGGGAUACCGCCGAU